GAUGAAGAACGCAGCGAAAUGCGAUAAGUAGUGUGAAUUGCAGAAUUCCGUGAAUCAUCGAAUCUUUGAACGCACAUUGCGCCUUCUGGUAUUCCGGAAGGCAUGCCUGUUCGAGAGUCAUUAACAACCGUUUCGAUCCCUUUCUUUCAGAAAUUACAAAGAGGAAAAGGGUUUGGUUAUGGUGGAGGAGGGAAAGGGAGCGUUUAGCCUGUAAAAAAAGAGGCUGUGUUCCGCCUCCCCCCCAAAAUUGUACAGGCGGUCGUGUGCGCCCACGCAUCGAGGUGUUGUAAAAGCUGCCACGGCACUUUUCACCUGUGCAGUGCGAGAUUGGCCAGCCGGUUUAAAAACCCCUCCAAACAAUCACAGGUUGACCUCGGAUCAGGUAGGGAUACCCGCUGAACUUAAGCAUAUCAAUAAGCGGAGGA
rnacentral:misc_RNA from 1 species